GACAGAGGUGCCGAGCGUUAGGCGGAAUCACUGGGCUUAAAGCGUGUGUAGGCGGGCGAUCAAGUACCUUGUGAAAUCCCACGGCUCAACCGUGGAACCGCUGGGUAUACUGGUUGUCUUGAGCCGGCUAGGGGCGAGCGGAACAGGCGGUGGAGCGGUGAAAUGCGUAGAUAUCGUCUGGAACGCCGAAGGUGAAAACAGCUCGCUGGGGCCGCGCUGACGCUGAGACACGAAAGCCAGGGGAGCGAACGGG
rnacentral:rRNA from 1 species